GGAUGAAGAACGCAGCGAAAUGCGAUAAGUAAUGUGAAUUGCAGAAUUCAGUGAAUCAUCGAAUCUUUGAACGCACAUUGCGCCCGCCAGUAUUCUGGCGGGCAUGCCUGUUCGAGCGUCAUUACAACCCUCAGGCCCCCGGGCCUGGCGUUGGGGAUCGGCAGAAGCCCCCUGUGGGCACACGCCGUCCCUCAAAUACAGUGGCGGUCCCGCCGCAGCUUCCAUUGCGUAGUAGCUAACACCUCGCAACUGGAGAGCGGCGCGGCCAUGCCGUAAAACACCCAACUUCUGAAUGUUGACCUCGAAUCAGGUAGGAAUACCCGCUGAACUUAAGCAUAUCAAUAAGCGGAGGA
rnacentral:misc_RNA from 1 species